GUGAAUCAUCAAAUUUUUGAACGCAUAUUGCACUCUCUUGGAUGCCGAAGAGUGUUCCUGUGUGAGGGUAAUUAAAUAGAAUCUUUAACCGAUUUUUUGUGGAGAGGGAAGGAGUUCUCCGCGUUUAUAGCGGUAGUGUUAAAUAAAUGGUCAAGUCUCAUUUUAGUCGAGACGCGGAAUAAUAUUAUUUCGCGAAAUCUUCAUUAUGGUACUAUCAAUUUUUAAUGCAUACAAAUAUAUUUUAUAGGCUAUCAA
rnacentral:misc_RNA from 1 species